GCCUACCACCACAUGCUGACACAACGAGCAGUUGAUGACCAGGCCGUGCACGGCUCGGAGCAUCCUGCUGUCCCAUAGGUCGGCGCAGGCUCUGAACACACUCGGGAGCACAAACCUGUUCACCGGGACUCCCUCCCUCCGCAUACUGCGGAAGAGCUCGACGACCUCCGCAUGCCGGCCAGCGUGCGCCAGCGCCACGAAGACCGCGCUCUCGCUCUUCUCGCCGACCUCAUGGGGAUCACGUCCGCUUGCAAUCUGUCCGCCCGUCCCAAGGCUUUCGUCCAACGGGUUAGCUGCGCUCUUAGUGUUCUCAGUGCUCCUCUCAGGCAUUAUGUCGAACUGGUUACGUGGGUUCACUGGGCCGGGGUUCUGGGUGGUUCUUGCACUGGGCAGCAUGAUGAGUUCUCGCUGCAAGAUGCCCGCGGAGGCGGCGACGCACAGGAGGAGGUGGCGGCGCCAUCGCCCAAGCUCCCAUUUGAGGUGGGUGGGUUGACGGGAGGCGGAAUAGGGAUUUGCACGAGAGGAAUGGAGCCCCGGAGGAUAAGGGUGCAGGAGGCAAGCGGCCAUAUCCGGUUGCUGUUUGGCUCAAAAGAACGGAC
rnacentral:misc_RNA from 1 species